UACGUAGGGAGCAAGCGUUGUUCGGAUUUACUGGGCGUAAAGGGCGCGUAGGCGGCAAAUUAAGUCAGCUGUGAAAUCUCCGAGCUUAACUCGGAACGGUCGGCUGAUACUGAUCUGCUAGAGUGCGGAAGGGGCAAUCGGAAUUCUUGGUGUAGCGGUGAAAUGCGUAGAUAUCAAGAGGAACACCUGAGGUGAAGACGGGUUGCUGGGCCGACACUGACGCUGAGUGCGCGAAAGCCAGGGGAGCAAACGGG
rnacentral:rRNA from 1 species